CGACCGGCGCACGGGUGAGUAACACGUAUCCAACCUGCCCACCACUUGGGGAUAACCUUGCGAAAGUAAGACUAAUACCCAAUGAUAUCUCUAGAAGACAUCUGAAAGAGAUUAAAGAUUUAUCGGUGAUGGAUGGGGAUGCGUCUGAUUAGCUUGUUGGCGGGGUAACGGCCCACCAAGGCGACGAUCAGUAGGGGUUCUGAGAGGAAGGUCCCCCACAUUGGAACUGAGACACGGUCCAA
rnacentral:rRNA from 1 species